UGGGGAAUAUUGGACAAUGGGCGCAAGCCUGAUCCAGCCAUGCCGCGUGAGUGAAGAAGGCCCUAGGGUUGUAAAACUCUUUCAGCGGGGAAGAUAAUGACGGUACCCGCAGAAGAAGCCCCGGCUAACUCCGUGCCAGCAGCCGCGGUAAUACGGAGGGGGCUAGCGUUGUUCGGAAUUACUGGGCGUAAAGCGCGCGUAGGCGGUCUGCGUAGUCAGGCGUGAAAGCCCCGGGCUCAACCUGGGAACUGCGUUUGAUACUGGCAGACUAGAGUUCGGGAGAGGGUAGUGGAAUUCCCAGUGUAGAGGUGAAAUUCGUAGAUAUUGGGAAGAACACCAGUGGCGAAGGCGGCUACCUGGACCGAUACUGACGCUGAGGUGCGAAAGCGUGGGGAGCAAACAGG
rnacentral:rRNA from 1 species